GCUAGACCUAUAAUUAACCUAUGCUUCGGAUAAAUGCAUUCUCGUAAUGCUCGAGACAUAUGUCGUUGGACAUCUUGUAACCUUCGUAACCUUCCAGCCUCAGGAAGAUUGAUUUUAUUCGUCAUUUGACAGGAGAAAAUAAUUAUUGUUAUAUUAACAAAUUAUUUAACGUGAUUGAUAUACACAUUUAUGUUUAUUAUUUAGCGUAUUGCUGUGUUUAUCGCACAAUAAAUGUGCUAGAAAAUAAAAAUAUUGAAAUUUUACUGAUUUACUGUUAGGUAGUUGCAGGCCGCUCACUUGUGAUGACGCGCGAGGCAAGUCACUCGGACAUCUGCCUCUCAGGCUUCCACGUGUCAAUGAAAUAAAAAAAUAAUUGCGUCCGAGGUCGGCCGUUGGAUUCUUUAAUCGAAAACUAUAAAUCCACCGCGCGUUGGGAUCCAACGCUCGCAAGCCAAAUGGCUUGUCGCCGCGUCGUAAUCGCGACGGUUAUUGGAAUCGUUCCUCAGGAAUUCGAUAAAUUAUUGGCGGUCAUAGAGAAUGAACGCGAUACGGCGAUUGGAAUUGAAUCGACUCACAGGAGCUUAAAUGCGAUGCUAUCCCAUCCGACAGCGGCGCUAUCCCCCUCGAAUGAUGAAUCGGAUGACGCUCGAUUCUCAUCCGUCUGACGUCUCAAUUUCCGUAGCUCGCUAGGCGGAAGUGUGAUUAACAGCUUAACAAGGCACGGGGAAACAAAACUUGGCAAUUUCAAAUCGCCUGUUGAAGAAUGCGCGAAACGAUAAUUCCUCACACAUGUACCUACUAAAGUAUCAUUUUACGAAUAUGUAAAGAAAUUCACAAUAUAUGUAUCUCGCAUGCAUUGCACAUGUUACAACUGUAAUUAUUAAAAUUAUAUUAAUUAUAGAAAAUUUCAUAGUU